rnacentral:misc_RNA from 1 species
CGUCUCCCGUCUUUCGCCGUGCCGCUCUCUCCCUCUCCCUCUGCAUGUGUGUGUGUGUUUCAAGACCACUCGCCUGGGCAUCCAAACCUCUGCCCCCCCCCCCCCCCCCCAAGCCCCAAAUUCCCAUCCCUAUCCCACCCCGAUCGAUCAUCUAGCUGCGCGAUGAAGCGCUCCAUACGCACACUCGAACAGCUGCAACUGCGCUUAACAAGUGACGCGGCGACCACCGGAGGCGGCAGCAGCCGCACUGGGACCACCGUUGAGCAGCGCCGUGCCGCCGAGGCAGCCAAGCAGAAGCGGUUGGCAACGCUGACCCCAUACAAGCAGGCAGAGUACCGAUGCGUCGAAUGCGUUGCAGAGCUGCGGCAGGCGUUGCGCGAUGUGGAGGAGUUUGAGGUUGCGUUGGGGCGCCGAACCAGCGCCGGCGUCGGCCGAUCGAGAGAAGAGGAGGAGGCAGGAGACGCCGUGGACGCGGACGAUGACGAGAGCACGAGGCUGCUCCGCCGACAGGAAGGGCGCCAAGGGCCGUCGAGCUCCACCGAAACCGCUCUGCUAGAGCAGGAGCUUGCUCGUAGCCGGCAGCAGGCAAGGCGUGCUCAUCAGCGCCUUCAGCAGCUGCAGCGUGAAGCCGCGCGACUCGCCUCCAGGGCGGCUGCCAAGGCACCCGCAGUUACGUCCUCCGCUGCCGUUGCACCUGUCGCCGACGCCUCGGCUCCUUCAGCAGCACUGGAGGCGCUUGAGUGGCAACGGGCGCUGCCGCACGUCGAGCGGGCAAAGCAGUGGUACCGUGACGUGUUUGGGAUAAGGGUGGUGUCGUCUCUGGACGAUCCGGUGCUGCAGCUGAACAGACCCGCACAGCCGCAGCAGUCGGCUGGCAGCAUGGCGCACUUCGGGAGAGGCGCCAAUCCCGUUCCAUCAUGCGUGACCGCUGCCGCGGCGUGCUCCUUCUCCUCCUCCGCACAGGCGCGGGGCAGUGAAAGCGCCGCCGGCUGGGUCAGCCCACAGGAAGGCAGUGAGGCGCGCGCAGGCGGCGCCGGCGCGUCGACGGUAUCGCCGCUACUGAUGCUCCAAAGUGCCCGAGAGGAUGCGGAGUUUCGCGAGUUCUUUGCCUCGGUGCAGGCCAAUGACGAGCUUAUCGACGCGGCCAUGGAUCGCAUCAGCGACGGCGUUCACCGACUCCUGGAGAACGCGCGUGGCAUGCAGGACGAGCUGGCGGUGCAGGAGGCGCUGCUGCAGCAGGCAGAGGUGUCUGCGGAGGCGGCCGAGGCGCAGCUCACGCAGAUGAACCGCCGCCUCCGCCGCGCCAUCCGCGAGAUGGAAGAUUCGUCGAUCUGCAUGUAUGUCGUGUGCCUGCUCGUGCUGCUACUCGUCCUUGGGCUGCUGUUGCGCGUUGCGAGCUGAGGCGCGCACACCCGUCUUGAGGGGCCGAGCGCGCGUGCAUCGUGGCCGGCUAGCUUUUCUGCGUCUGUGGCCUAGACAUCGUUCUCUUCUCGCUGCGUGUUCGCCUCCUCUGCUCUGACCGAGCUCGGCACCACACCGCUCUGUCGGUUGUUUCCUCUCUUUGAGGUCCCUGCUGCUUUUCGUCUAGGUGGCUGCGAUCUGCGCCGCCGCCUUGCUGUUAUGCCGUGACUUCGCCACACAUGUGCUUGGAUUUACAGCGCCCCCUCCCUUUUAGGUGCGUCAUCACAUGUGCGUGAUGAUCUGUGCUUGCUGCCUUGAGUGGACAGCUGAGAAGAGCGAGAGGUGCGCACGCGCAAAGGAAAUCGAAAACAGAUGCGCAUCACGCAGCGCGAGCGCUAGCGUGUACGACGUAGCUAUCCAUCCCUUCUCUCCCUCGGCUCCGUAGGCCAGUGUCGCCGUGUGGGAUCAGAGUCCCAGGGAGGGCGAGGAUGGCGUGCGGGGCACGCGUUUCCGCGCAAAAAGGGGGUGGGGAGGGGAGGUCGAUCGUGAUGCGUAGGCGCUUGUGUACGCGCGCCUACGUGUGCGCGCUGCCAGAUCAUAUUCGAAGCGUCCACAGUGCUCAUCCACUGCGUCUCUUUUCCGCUUCCCCCGUUGCGCUGCAUCCCAGUCGCCGUGGCGACGUGUCGAGCUGCUCAGUGACGCUCCUUCGACUCGCGCCAGCCUGCCCGACACUCGCUCUCCCGGCCUCGGUGACUCGCGUGAAUGUGGGUGCCCUUCCAGCUCUGCGGCGCACACCCUCAGACGCCCCUUAUGUGUGUAUCCGUGUACACAUGCGCGUGCGCUGGCGCACAUGCCCCCGCCUCCCCUUUCCACCCCAACGCUUCUCAGCCCGCGUCUCCCCGAUCUCACUUGCCUCUGCGAAAACGGGUAACGCACGCGCGCGCACGAAUGUCCGCCGUGUGGCAG